rnacentral:rRNA from 1 species
UGUGGCUGGGGGUGAAAGGCCAAUCAAACCGGGAGAUAGCUGGUUCUCCCCGAAAGCUAUUUAGGUAGCGCCUCGUGAAUUCAUCUCCGGGGGUAGAGCACUGUUUCGGCAAGGGGGUCAUCCCGACUUACCAACCCGAUGCAAACUGCGAAUACCGGAGAAUGUUAUCACGGGAGACACACGGCGGGUGCUAACGUCCGUCGUGAAGAGGGAAACAACCCAGACCGCCAGCUAAGGUCCCAAAGUCAUGGUUAAGUGGGAAACGAUGUGGGAAGGCCCAGACAGCCAGGAUGUUGGCUUAGAAGCAGCCAUCAUUUAAAGAAAGCGUAAUAGCUCACUGGUCGAGUCGGCCUGCGCGGAAGAUGUAACGGGGCUAAACCAUGCACCGAAGCUGCGGCAGCGACACUAUGUGUUGUUGGGUAGGGGAGCGUUCUGUAAGCCUGUGAAGGUGGCCUGUGAGGGUUGCUGGAGGUAUCAGAAGUGCGAAUGCUGACAUAAGUAACGAUAAAGCGGGUGAAAAGCCCGCUCGCCGGAAGACCAAGGGUUCCUGUCCAACGUUAAUCGGGGCAGGGUGAGUCGACCCCUAAGGCGAGGCCGAAAGGCGUAGUCGAUGGGAAACAGGUUAAUAUUCCUGUACUUGGUGUUACUGCGAAGGGGGGACGGAGAAGGCUAUGUUGGCCGGGCGACGGUUGUCCCGGUUUAAGCGUGUAGGCUGGUUUUCCAGGCAAAUCCGGAAAACCAAGGCUGAGGCGUGAUGACGAGGCACUACGGUGCUGAAGCGACAAAUGCCCUGCUUCCAGGAAAAGCCUCUAAGCAUCAGGUAACAUCAAAUCGUACCCCAAACCGACACAGGUGGUCAGGUAGAGAAUACCAAGGCGCUUGAGAGAACUCGGGUGAAGGAACUAGGCAAAAUGGUGCCGUAACUUCGGGAGAAGGCACGCUGAUAUGUAGGUGAAGCGACUUGCUCGUGGAGCUGAAAUCAGUCGAAGAUACCAGCUGGCUGCAACUGUUUAUUAAAAACACAGCACUGUGCAAACACGAAAGUGGACGUAUACGGUGUGACGCCUGCCCGGUGCCGGAAGGUUAAUUGAUGGGGUUAGCGGUAACGCGAAGCUCUUGAUCGAAGCCCCGGUAAACGGCGGCCGUAACUAUAACGGUCCUAAGGUAGCGAAAUUCCUUGUCGGGUAAGUUCCGACCUGCACGAAUGGCGUAAUGAUGGCCAGGCUGUCUCCACCCGAGACUCAGUGAAAUUGAACUCGCUGUGAAGAUGCAGUGUACCCGCGGCAAGACGGAAAGACCCCGUGAACCUUUACUAUAGCUUGACACUGAACAUUGAGCCUUGAUGUGUAGGAUAGGUGGGAGGCUUUGAAGUGUGGACGCCAGUCUGCAUGGAGCCGACCUUGAAAUACCACCCUUUAAUGUUUGAUGUUCUAACGUUGGCCCGUAAUCCGGGUUGCGGACAGUGUCUGGUGGGUAGUUUGACUGGGGCGGUCUCCUCCUAAAGAGUAACGGAGGAGCACGAAGGUUGGCUAAUCCUGGUCGGACAUCAGGAGGUUAGUGCAAUGGCAUAAGCCAGCUUGACUGCGAGCGUGACGGCGCGAGCAGGUGCGAAAGCAGGUCAUAGUGAUCCGGUGGUUCUGAAUGGAAGGGCCAUCGCUCAACGGAUAAAAGGUACUCCGGGGAUAACAGGCUGAUACCGCCCAAGAGUUCAUAUCGACGGCGGUGUUUGGCACCUCGAUGUCGGCUCAUCACAUCCUGGGGCUGAAGUAGGUCCCAAGGGUAUGGCUGUUCGCCAUUUAAAGUGGUACGCGAGCUGGGUUUAGAACGUCGUGAGACAGUUCGGUCCCUAUCUGCCGUGGGCGCUGGAGAACUGAGGGGGGCUGCUCCUAGUACGAGAGGACCGGAGUGGACGCAUCACUGGUGUUCGGGUUGUCAUGCCAAUGGCACUGCCCGGUAGCUAAAUGCGGAAGAGAUAAGUGCUGAAAGCAUCUAAGCACGAAACUUGCCCCGAGAUGAGUUCUCCCUGACUCCUUGAGAGUCCUGAAGGAACGUUGAAGACGACGACGUUGAUAGGCCGGGUGUGUAAGCGCAGCGAUGCGUUGAGCUAACCGGUACUAAUGAACCGUGAGGCUUAACCUU